rnacentral:ncRNA from 1 species
AAAAAGUUUAAUUUUAGUUUAAAGUUUUAUUUAAUGUUUUAUUUACAUGUAAAUUUUAGUAUGGAAAUAAAUUUAAUUUAAAAAAUUAAAUUUAAAUUAUUUAUUCGCAGUAUAGAGUUUUAUUAAUCUAAGUAAUUAGGAUAUAUAAAUAGAUUUUAGUAUUAACAAAAUUUGUGCCAGCAGUUGCGGUUAUACAAAAAAUAUAAAUAAAAUUUAUUUAAAGUUAGUAAAUUGAAUUGUUUUAAUUAGAAUUAAGUUUAUGAGGUGAAAUUUAAAAUUUAAUGGUUUUAUUAAUUGGGUUUUUGAUUCUAUGAAAUUUAAAUAUUAAACUAGGAUUAGAUACCCUAUUAUUUUAAAUGUAAAUUAGUUGUUUAAAGAAGUAUUAGUUAUGAUCUUGAAAUUUAAAAAUUUUGGCGGUAUUUUAGUCUAUUCAGAGGAACCUGUUCUGUAAUCGAUAGUCCACGAUUUAAUUUACUUAGUUUAAUAAUUUGUAUAUCGUUGUUAUUAAAUAUUUUAUAAGAAAAUAAAUGUUUAAGAGUUUUUUAAAAAAUAAUUUCAAAUCAAGGUGCAGUAUAUGAUUAAGAAGAAAUGGGUUACAAUAAGUUUAUUUAAAUGGAGUUGUAUAUGAAAUAUAUAAUAAAGGUGGAUUUGAAAGUAAUAUAAUUUAUUUAAAUUAUAUGAUUUUAGCUCUAAAAUGUGUACAUAUUGCCCGUCGCUCUUAUUAUAAAAUAAGAUAAGUCGUAACAUAGUAGAUGUACCGGAAGGUGUAUCUAGAAUGG